rnacentral:rRNA from 2 species
UACGGGGGGUGCAAGCGUUACUCGGAAUCACUGGGCGUAAAGAGCAUGUAGGCGGAUUAAUAAGUUUGAAGUGAAAUCCUAUAGCUUAACUAUAGAACUGCUUUGAAAACUGUUAAUCUAGAAUGUGGGAGAGGUAGAUGGAAUUUCUGGUGUAGGGGUAAAAUCCGUAGAGAUCAGAAGGAAUACCGAUUGCGAAGGCGAUCUACUGGAACAUUAUUGACGCUGAGAUGCGAAAGCGUGGGGAGCAAACAGG